rnacentral:rRNA from 2 species
GACGAACCGUGCGAACGUUGUUCGGAAUCACUGGGCUUAAAGGGCGCGUAGGCGGCUUGCCAAGUCAGGGGUGAAAUCUUUCGGCUCAACCGGAAAAGUGCCCUUGAUACUGGCGAGCUCGAGGGAGGUAGGGGUAUGUGGAACUGAUGGUGGAGCGGUGAAAUGCGUUGAUAUCAUCAGGAACGCCGGUGGCGAAAGCGACGUACUGGACCUCUUCUGACGCUGAGGCGCGAAAGCUAGGGGAGCAAACGGG